CCUACGGGAGGCUGCAGUAGGGAAUUUUCGGCAAUGGGGGGAACCCUGACCGAGCAACGCCGCGUGAACGAAGAAGUUAUUCGUAAUGUAAAGUUCUUUUAACAGGGAAGAAAGAGAAAUUUGACGGUACCUGAAGAAUAAGCUCCGGCUAACUACGUGCCACAAGCCGCGGUAAUACGUAGGGAGCGAGCGUUAUCCGGAAUUAUUGGGCGAAAAGGGUGCGUAGAUGGCAUAGUAAGUCUUUUGUAAAAAUGCUGGGCUAAACCCAGUAGGGCAAAAGAUACUGCAAAGCUAGAGUAUGACAGAGGCAAGUGGAACUACAUGUGUAGCGGUAAAAGGCGUAAAUAUAUGUAAGAACACCAGUGGCGAAGGCGGCUUGCUGGGUCGAUACUGACAUUGAGGCACGAAAGCGUGGGGAGCAAACAGGAUUAGAUACCCCUGUAGUC
rnacentral:rRNA from 1 species